rnacentral:rRNA from 1 species
GACAGAGGUGCCGAGCGUUAGGCGGAAUCACUGGGCUUAAAGCGUGUGUAGGCGGAUCUGUAAGUACCUUGUGAAAUCCCACGGCUCAACCGUGGAACUGCUUGGUAUACUGCGGGUCUUGAGCCACCUAGGGGCAAGUGGAACAAACGGUGGAGCGGUGAAAUGCGUAGAUAUCGUCUGGAACGCCGAAGGUGAAAACAGCUCGCUGGGCUGCGCUGACGCUGAGACACGAAGACCAGGGAGCGAACGGG